rnacentral:rRNA from 1 species
UAUUCCUACGGGAGGCAGCAGUGAGGAAUAUUGGUCAAUGGCCGCAGGGCUGAACCAGCCAAGUCGCGUGAGGGACGACGGUCCUAUGGAUUGUAAACCUCUUUUGUCGGGGAACAAAGGCGCCCACGGGUGGGCGGAUGAGUGUACCCGAAGAAAAAGCAUCGGCUAACUCCGUGCCAGCAGCCGCGGUAAUACGGAGGAUGCGAGCGUUAUCCGGAUUUAUUGGGUUUAAAGGGUGCGUAGGCGGACAGUCAAGUCAGCGGUAAAAAUGCGGUGCUCAACGCCGUACAGCCGUUGAAACUGGC